AUGGUAAUUCUAGAGCUAAUACAUGCGAACAAACCCGACUUUGCGGAAGGGUUGUGCUUAUUAGAUACUGAGCCACCCAGGUUCGUCCUGGCUUUUGCGUUGAUUCAUAGUACCGGAACGGAUCGCACGGCUUGCCGGCGAUGAGUCAUUCAAGUUUCUGACCUAUCAGCUUCCGACGGUAGGGUAUUGGCCUACCGUGGCUUUGACGGGUAACGGAGAAUUAGGGUUCGAUUCCGGAGAGGGAGCCUGAGAAACGGCUACCACAUCUAAGGAAGGCAGCAGGCGCGCAAAUUACCCAAUUCUGACACAGUGAGGUAGUGACAAGAAAUACCAAUACGAGGCAUCAUGUCUUGUAAUUGGAAUGAGAAGAACAUAAAUCGCUUUCCGAGUAUCAAUUGGAGGGCAAGUCUGGUGCCAGCAGCCGCGGUAAUUCCAGCUCCAAUAGCGUAUAUUAAAGUUGUUGCGGUUAAAAAGCUCGUAGUUGAAGUUCUGUCGAGAGCCACUGGGUCCGCCCCCGUGGCUGGUACGCAGUACGUUCUCGGCAUCCGCUUGGGGAACGCGUUUGCACUUCGCUGUGUGGCGCGGGAUCCAGGACGUUUACUUUGAGGAAAUGAGAGUGUUUCAAGCAGGCCGUCGCCGUGUAUACGUUAGCAUGGAAUAAUAGUAGCCGGACCUCGCUCCAUAAAUGUUGGGUCCUUUGGAAUGAGGUCACGGUAAACAAGGAAUAGUUGGGGGCAAUCGUAAUU
rnacentral:rRNA from 1 species